UGGGGAAUAUUGGACAAUGGGGGAAACCCUGAUCCAGCAAUGCCGCGUGUGUGAAGAAGGCCCUCGGGUUGUAAAGCACUUUUAUCGGGAACGAAACGUUGUCGGUUAAUACCCGGCAAAACUGACGGUACCCGAGGAAUAAGCACCGGCUAACUACGUGCCAGCAGCCGCGGUAAUACGUAGGGUGCGAGCGUUGCCCGGAUUCAUUGGGCGUAAAGCGCGCGCAGGCGGAUGCACGCGUCCCGCGUGAAAUCGCCCGGCUCAACCGGGCGGGGUCGCGGGAUACGGUGCGUCUGGAGCACGGGAGGGGGCAGUGGAAUUCCCGGUGUAGUGGUGGAAUGCGUAGAGAUCGGGAGGAACACCAGUGGCGAAGGCGACUGCCUGGACCGUGGCUGACGCUGAGGCGCGAAAGCGUGGGGAGCGAUC
rnacentral:rRNA from 1 species